rnacentral:rRNA from 1 species
GUAGGAGGCAAGCGUUAUCCGAAUUUACUGGGCGUAAAGCGCGUGCAGGCGGUUCGGUAAGUUGGAUGUGAAAUCUCCUGGCUCAACUAGGAGAGGUCGUUCAAUACUGUCGGACUAGAGGAUGGUAGAGGGAGGUGGAAUUCCCGGUGUAGUGGUGAAAUGCGUAGAUAUCGGGAGGAACACCAGUGGCGAAAGCGGCCUCCUGGACCAUUCCUGACGCUCAGACGCGAAAGCUAGGGGAGCGAACGGGAUUAGACACCCCGGUAGUCUUAGCUGUAAACGAUGUAGACUUGGCGUCGGUGGGGUAAAAGCCAUCGGUGCCGGAGCUAACGCGGUAAGUCUACCGCCUGGGGACUACGGCCGCAAGGUUAAAACUCAAAGGAAUUGACGGGUCCCCGCACAAGCAGCGGAGCGUGUGGUUUAAUUCGAUGAUACACGAAAAACCUUACCCAGGUUUGACAUAUAGGUGGUAGGGAUCUGAAAGGUGACCGACCCUUCGGGGAGCCUAUACAGGUGCUGCAUGGCUGUCGUCAGCUCGUGCCGUGAGGUGUCCGGUUAAGUCCGGUAACGAGCGCAACCCUCACUGUAUGUUACAAGUGUCAUACGGAACUGCCGGUAUCAAGCCGGAGGAAGGUGGGGAUGACGUCAAGUCAGCAUGGCCUUUAUGCCUGGGGCUACACACACGCUACAAUGGCCAGUACAAUGGGUUUGCAAGACCGCGAGGUGGAGCCAAUCCUCAAAGCUGGUCUCAGUUCAGAUUGUAGGCUGCAACUCGCCUACAUGAAGUCGGAGUUGCUAGUAAACGCAGGCCAGCCAUACUGCGUUGAAUACGUUCUCGGGGAUU